rnacentral:rRNA from 1 species
GAUGAACGCUGGCGGCGUGCCUAAUACAUGCAAGUCGAGCGAACGGACGAGAAGCUUGCUUCUCUGAUGUUAGCGGCGGACGGGUGAGUAACACGUGGAUAACCUACCUAUAAGACUGGGAUAACUUCGGGAAACCGUAGCUAAUACCGGAUAAUAUUUUGAACCGCAUGGUUCAAAAUUGAAAGACGUUCUUGCUGUCACUUAUAGAUGGAUCCGCGCUGCAUUAGCUAGUUGGUAAGGUAACGGCUUACCAAGGCAACGAUGCAUAGCCGACCUGAGAGGGUGAUCGGCCACACUGGAACUGAGACACGGUCCAGACUCCUACGGGAGGCAGCAGUAGGGAAUCUUCCGCAAUGGGCGAAAGCCUGACGGAGCAACGCCGCGUGAGUGAUGAGGGUCUUCGGAUCGUAAAACUCUGUUAUUAGGGAAGAACAUAUGUGUAAGUAACUGUGCACAUCUUGACGGUACCUAAUCAGAAAGCCACGGCUAGCUACGUG